CAAAAACAUAGGUUUCUGCUAAGUCGCAAGACGAUGUAUAGGAGCUGACGCCUGCCCGGUGCUGGAAGGUUAAGGGGAUCUGUUAGAGCAAUCGAAGCAGGGAACUUAAGCCCCAGUAAACGGCGGCCGUAACUAUAACGGUCCUAAGGUAGCGAAAUUCCUUGUCGGGUAAGUUCCGACCCGCACGAAAGGCGUAACGAU
rnacentral:rRNA from 1 species